GCAGCUCGAGACGUUCUUCGGUUUUAAAAAUGGAGGCCAGCAAUGGGCACUGGACUGCUCCGGAAAGUUUGUCUUUGAUCCAAACUAAAUUUCAAGACUGGACGAACGAAAAACUGGCAAUACGGAGUUAUUUCAACAAAUGAAAGAAAAACUCGGGGAAGCCGAUCCAAAAACUCAAUGAGGAAGUUCAUGCGAGCCUGCGUCUCCUUCCACGUCAACCCAUGGAUUCUUCCGUAGAAAGUGAGCGUGUCACUGAUGGUGAACUCGUUGUACAAUGCCAGCUCCUGUAUUAACAGGAAACCCAGGCGGCUUCCCCAGCACGCUAAUAUGACCCCGGGAGAUUUUCAGAGUGCCGACGAUGCAUUUCAGCAGAGUGGUCUUCCCGCAGCCGCUGGGGCCCAGCAGGCCGUAGCUGCAAGGCGACAAUGCAAAUACCACGUCAGAUUCCUGGUUGGAUUCCAGAUCAAUGGUAACUGGGAGAGCAUGUUAUCACAUAAAGUUGCACACAGAGCUUAGUGUUUUUAACAAAUCCAACAGAUCAUGACUAUGUAAGCUAAAGAGAUGAUGGCACCAACGAUAAGAUACCAGAGUUACGACAUGCCUUGGAUAUAAAGUGUGUCACAACCUGUUCCACUCUCUUUCCCAAUCAGGAGCUACUCAGUGAGGACAAAGUGCUCAUCACACCAUCUGUCAUCAGGCCAUAAAGUGAAAGGAGUAAAAGGUCUACUCUACCAAAUUAAAAACUUUGGCAGAAAAAUAUUAACAAUCUUAACAAUUAUAUAUUUAAAAAAUGGGGUUUAGUCUUUAACGCAUUUUGGACACUAGUGUCCUUGUGUGUCUUCGAAUAUUUCUUUGGCAUCAGUAGUUGUUGUACUGAGGAACUUUCACUCAACACACAGAAAAGAAAAACAAGUCGCACGAUGCCGACUGGUGAGCAUUCCGAGAAACUCCUUCACUCUUCAAACAGAAAACAAAAACAGACCUCACGAUGCUCAUUGCUGUCUGGCUUGUAUUCCAUUCCUCAUCCAAUACUAUGUAGUUAUAUGUUUUUAUUAUUUACAUUUUAUUUUCAGAGCAACGUAAAAACGUCCACAAGCAAACCCACGGGGAGAAGAUGCAAACACAGAGAUACCCAAGCCGAGAAUCAAACCUAGGUCUUCCCAAUCUCCUUACUAUGUGGCCUAUACAAACUCAACAGUUGAUCACUGUGUGGCCAGUUCCAAAGGUGAAAACUGGUGUUAUAUUUGUAAAUAAAUUGUUAUUUUGAUGGGCUGCACGGCGGACGUGUUGUUAGCGUGUCGACCUGAGUUCAAUUCCACCCUCGGCCAUCUCUGUGUGGAGUUUGCAUGUAUGUUCUCCCCGUGCAUGCGUGGGUUUUCUCCGGGUACUCCGGUUUCCUCCCACAUUCUAAAAACAUGCUAGGUUAAUUAGCGACUCCAAAUUGUCCAUAGGUAUGAAUGUGAGUGUGAAUGGUUGUUUGUCUAUAUGUGCCCUGUGAUUGGCUGGCGACCAGUCCAGGGUGGACCCCGCCUCUCUUCCCCGAAGACAGCUGGGAUAGGCUCCAGCACCCCCCGCGACCCUCGUGAGGAUAAGCGGUAGAAAAUGAAUGUUGGUGUCGUUGUUUUGAUAUUUGAGCUGUCAGUUAACAGCCAUAAUUUCACUUUGUUAAAAAUGUGAAAAAAACAAAGUUUCUCUGUCCACCGGUGCACAUUUUUCAAUGGCUUACACUAUUUCCACAGAAAGGUGUCUUCUCCACUUCAGGUUCGUCAAUUACACUUGAGGAAUGCUGCUAGGUGUCGGCCCAGUGAUGCAGUAGCUCACGUCAAUUGCCAUUCAUGACGUUAAAGUGCAGCACAUGACAAAAAAACAAACAAGUGAACAACACGCCUGUGCAGACGCUAAGUAUGGGACUUCUCUGAGAGAUCUUUAUGAACGACACGCAAGGGUUGCGCAAAGUUCCAAGAUGAGUUUAUUGUGAGGUGAGCAAUGUUGAGAUCUUAUCAGUCAUUUAACAUGACAAAAGGUAUAAAUGCUUAGAAGACAGGUCGGCCAGGUCCUGAUUACCUUGACUCACCUGGGAACAUGCAAAUGAGCCUGAUGCAGGAUGAAUGCAAACAAAAUGGUUGGACACCUCUCAUCGAUUGACAUGGGUGCAAGUGUUGCGAAGUGACGGCAGAUUUGAAGAGUGAGGUGUUCCACUUACAUGUGUCCCUGUGGUACAGUCAGGUUGAGGUUGUUGAGGACUUUCAGUUUGCCGUAUGAGCGGCAAACGUCCCGGCAAUGGAUUGCUGACGUUUCCUGUAUGGGAGGCAGGGAGGCCUCAAAAUCACCUUUCAUGUUCCCUUGUAUCUGCAAACAUUGAUGGAAAACAUGGAAAACUCUUAGAAUUCAUAUAUGUGAACACAUAGUAUGUCAUAUGAACACAUAUGUCAGCAGAGCGUUAUAAAUAGAGCAUAGCUCUUCAGAAAGAAAGGAAAUUUUCCUUUUGCUUCAAGCAAGUUUUUUAUUUACAACGUGGCAGCAAAACUGCAGUUAAGCACAAACAGAUUUGCAUGUCUAGGUUUUCUCACUUCUACCUUCCUUACUCCGCACUCUCCACGUUUAUUUAAUAUUUAUGACAAUAAAGUCAGAAAUUUAUGAUUUUUUUUCUAAUAAAUUUACCAUUUUAUUCUUGUAAAUUUCUCCUAAAUGUACAACAUUUACGACAUUUACGAAUCUCGAAAUCUCAGAUUAAUUUAAUACUCCGCCCUAUCCACAUGCCCAAGGCCAAAGGUCACAUAAGUGCCCCCUUUUCAUAUCUGUCCCAGGCAGUGCCUGUAACAUAGUUACACACGUUUUUUUCCCCGUAAAUGUACGACUUUAUUUUGUAAUAUUGCAAGUUUUUCCUUGUAAAUUUAUGACUUUAUCCUCAAAAUCUGAAAUUAUUUGAAUACUCUGUUGUAACAGGCAUUACCUGAGAUUUAUGUGACCUUUGGCUUUUGGUAAAGGUAAUAGUACAAUGUUUUUUCUCAUAAAUUUGUGAAUAUUAUGAAAUUUAUUCUAAAAAAAAUAAAGGUUUUUUUUCUAAAAAAAAAAAAUACAACUAUAUUCUUGUAAAUGUAUGAUUCUUUUUCUCAUUAAUUUAUAACUUUAUUCUCAUAAAUUUACAACAAAACAGAUGAAUCUGUUUUCAAUCUGUAAUUAACUAUUUUCACAAAAAAUAUAAAACUUAAAAUUAUUAAAAUUAUUGUAAAUUUAUGAGAAGAAAGUUGUAAUAUACAAGAAAAAUUGUCGUAAUAUUAUGACCUUUGGCCUUGGGCAGGUGGAGAUUAAUCUGAGAUUUUAUUCUCGUACAUUUACAACUUUAUUCGCAAACCCUGACCUUAUUAUUUUUUCAAUGUGACUCUAAUACUCAGUCGUACCACUCAACAAUGACAGAUCAUCUGAAUGAAAUAUAAACAAUAUACUUUAUCAAUGUAAUAUCUGAUCCAAUUUCAGGUAGAUUUAAAGACCCCAGCACUCAAGUGACAUUCCUGCUAAUAAUCCAGAAACGCGUGAAGGAGGUGACCAGGCGAGUUAUUUCUGCAAGAAUGCAAGCAGGGGAAAGAGUCAAAGUGGUUUUGCCCUUUCAGUCAAAAAAUUAACAACAACAACAACAUUCCCACAGCUUCACUUUGCAGUUUCUCAUACCUGGAGACAACUUCUUGACCUGACACAAAACUACAUAGUAAUUUCAACUAAAAACAAACCUCUUUCUCUCAACUAAAUCACUCCUUUAAUCCACCAUCUCUCAUUUUCCAGCAAAGAGAUUAGAAAGGCUAUGUUGCAUAAUCUGGGGCAUUAUGCUCAUGCUCACUUUUGGAACUUCAAUUUUACACCUGCAAAAAUUCUUCAAGAAGCACAGAGAGCAAAACUCACCCGUGGUGGAGAUGAUAAAGAUAAAAAAAGAUGAGGAAGGACUGAUGAUGUGUCUCUACUGACUCCAGCAGCUUCUUUAACCCAGAGAAGACUCAUAAAUACGCACAUGCAAAAGUAGCAGAACAGGUUCAACCCAGAUUGCAAUGAAUAGCACAAAGUCUCCAACAGGUGGAGACUACAUCCACAAAUGUGUGAACACAUUUUCAGACAAUCAAAAAUAAACUCACUGAGCUCCAUUCAUGCAAGCAGCCAUUAAGGAUGAAAAGCUCUCUUGCACUAGUGAUCAGGAAGAAUUCCCACCUCGCCUGCCAAAGUGGAAGAAAAUGGUUCGCGGCAAAUAACCGCCACUGUGCAUGCACAACAAGAUGCAUCCGCCGGCGACCACUUUCACUUCCGCAUGUAAGUGCACAGUGCAGCCCCCCAUUCCCAUCCAUCAUGAAUCUGCAUCCUCCAUCAUUCUACGCACGCCUGCAAAAAAAUGGCGUCCGCGGAUCUACACUGCAUAGGCAUUUUACCUGCUCCAUCUCGGUGCCUUCCACUUCCACGGAAGAGACCGACGCAGCACCCGAACUGGCAGCAUCCAUGACCAUGGCAGCACAGGAGGAUGAGCUGCACCGCCUCAUCACCAGUACGGCGAUGCCUGCUAUAAUGCAGAAGGGGAGGGGGGUGUGCAAGUCGCGGGGGCGUGCCGAGAGAACUAUUUACUGUAUAGAUUUAUAUUUUAUAUUCAACGUGUAGCUUUUUUUACUCACAAAUGAAACAACAGUCAAUGUUUUACUUGUUUAUGUAACAGCUAUUGGUGCUGAUGUUUGUUUCUUAUCUUUAUGACGUCAUGACAUCAUAAGGAAAUACUGUAUAAGCAAAUCGUUCUUAUAACAAUAACCACAUUGUCUUUUAUAAGAAAAAUUAAGUAGCCCAUGUUAAUUCCUGGCUGACACUUCAACCCAACUACAGCAUUUGUAAACAAUUUAGUUUAACCCAACAUUUACUAUAUAUUGUAUAUAAUAAUUAUUUAGUUUUUUUGAAACAUUGAUGUUUAUAGUUACUCAAUUCAGCAUGUUCUAAAAGGACUUGAAUAUUGCAUGGUUAUUGUACAGAAUAUUUACAGCAGUUUAUAUUAUGGUUUAUUGCAUGGUGCAAUAACUGUGCAAUAAACCAUGCAAUAACAUACAAUAAGUGCAGUAAUAGUGUAAUAAACCACAAUAUAAUAUGCUCCAAAAAUGUCAGUACAAUAAUCAUGCAAUAAACAAGUGCAAUGACUGUAAUGAACCCUGAUAUAAACUGCUCCAAAAAUUAUGCACAAUAACCGCCAAAAAACCAUGCAAUAAACGAGUGCAAUGACUGUAAUAAACCAUAAUAUAAACUGCUCGAAAAAGUAUAUAAUAACCAUGCAAAAAUCAAGAUGCAAUGACUGUAAUAAAGCAUAAUAUAAACUGCUCCAAUAAUUCUGUACAAUAACGUGCAAUAACCAUGCAAUAAAUAAGUGCAAUGACUGUAAUAAACUAUAGUAUAAACUGCUACAAUAAUUCUGUACAAUAAACGGCAAUGGCUGGAAUAAACCAUAGCAUAAACUGCUCGAUAAAGUAUAUAAUAACCAUGCAAUAAACAAGUGCAAUGACUGUAAUAAAGCAUAACAUAAACUGCUCGGAAAAGUAUAUACAAUAACCAUGCAAUAAACAAGUGCAAUGACUGUAGUAAAGCACAAUAUAAACUCCAGCCCGAGAUUAUUUUGUCAUGUAUGGACCCUGUUAACAUAAAUAGUAUUUCUUUAUCUUUUGAGGAAGGAAAUGAUGGCUCUAUUUUGGACAGUGUGAAUAUACAUUUCCUCACACAUUGUUUGGUUUCUUGUGCCGCGCAAGUCUACUUCUUUAGUUAAUUACAUAAUACAUUUGUUUAACUAAAAUAUGAACCCCCAAAAAACAUGUUCUGUUGUUAUGCUCCUUUACACUUCUUUUAUCAGUGGCCUGUAUUGUUUAUGUGUGUGCUGUAAGAGGAAAGGUUCUUUCUUUGUACCUAUACUGCACAUGUAAGGUAUAUAUGAAUAAUUCUUCAUAGUUGUUCCAGUGUACUUCCAGUGUGGCCGUUGCACCAGUGUUUUCUCCUCCUGAAAUGUCCAAAGAGAGAUAUCAUCACAAGUAAAAAUAUGUCAAAAAGAGGCUACAUUUCAUAUAAGUGAAUGAGGGUGGAAUUUUGAUUGGGGGUUUUGUUUGUGUCAUGGGUAGCUGUGGGUCAAUCUUGUGGGUCACCACAGUAGUUACAGUAAAGCAUGUAUGACAGGUGGCUGGAAGUUAGCUAGCUAACAAGCGUCAAGAGUUUUGCUGCUUUCGCUGCUUUUUUUUUUAGACAACCAUCUCCCAAUCUAUCGCU